AGAGUUUGAUCAUGGCUCAGGACGAACGCUGGCGGCGUGCUUAACACAUGCAAGUCGAACGAUGAACUCCAGCUUGCUGGGGGGGAUUAGUGGCGAACGGGUGAGUAACACGUGAGUAACCUGCCCUGGACUCUGGGAUAACCCCGAGAAAUCGGAGCUAAUACCGGAUAGGACCUUUCCCUGCAUGGGGUUUGGUGGAAAGUUUUUCGGUCUGGGAUGGACUCGCGGCCUAUCAGCUUGUUGGUGAGGUAAUGGCUCACCAAGGCGUCGACGGGUAGCCGGCCUGAGAGGGUGACCGGCCACACUGGGACUGAGACACGGCCCAGACUCCUACGGGAGGCAGCAGUGGGGAAUAUUGCACAAUGGGCGCAAGCCUGAUGCAGCAACGCCGCGUGCGGGAUGACGGCCUUCGGGUUGUAAACCGCUUUUAGUAAGGAAGAAGGGGAGCUUGCUCCUUGACGGUACUUGCAGAAAAAGGACCGGCUAACUACGUGCCAGCAGCCGCGGUAAUACGUAGGGUCCGAGCGUUGUCCGGAAUUAUUGGGCGUAAAGAGCUCGUAGGCGGUUUGUCGCGUCUGCUGUGAAAUCCCGAGGCUCAACCUCGGGCCUGCAGUGGGUACGGGCAGACUUGAGUGGUGUAGGGGAGACUGGAAUUCCUGGUGUAGCGGUGGAAUGCGCAGAUAUCAGGAGGAACACCGAUGGCGAAGGCAGGUCUCUGGGCACUUACUGACGCUGAGGAGCGAAAGC
rnacentral:rRNA from 1 species